GGGGCUAUGUCGUGUGUAUCGCAUUGCCACGAACUGUUCCACCACGAUCCGCUGCACCAUGUCGCCUCCUGGUGACAUCUCCAUUGCAUUCUGAUCCUUGUGGAAUAAACUCGAAUUGUGAACCCUCCAUGUGUGGCCUCUGCCAAUACAUCGCAAGGUCUCCUUCACCUUCGAUUUUGUUCGCUCCUUUGGCAAUCGACUUUCAUCCACCCACUCUUGGGUCACACCUAGAUGAAGCACCGCUCUAGGACAGUCCGUCGCCUAGUAGCUCCCGAAGUCCACCGACUUCACUGUAGUUUGUGCACCAUUGUCUGGAUCCUAGGCCUCUGCCCCUACCAGCACAAUCUCCGCUGC
rnacentral:lncRNA from 1 species